AAAGAACUCUUCAUCGUGACCUCCUGCUGCCAUGCGGUUUCCUUACUGUGACCCCGGUCGAAAGCGAAAUUAACCCGCCAAAGGCAGUAAGGCGACCAAGAACUCGACAAUAUUCUAAAGAUAACACAUCAGAUGGAGCUGAUGAAGAUGAAUCCCAAUCUGAUUCUGAGGAAUAUCACUAUCAAAGAAACCUAAAAGUGGACACAAUAGGUUUCAACCUGACCUCCGGACCUAUGGAAUACUUACCCGAAAGGAUCGAACCAGAACCUGACUUGGCUACUGUUGAGCAAAAUCUUUCAGACGUAGCUGAAGCUUCCCCUGAGAAUUCUCCAGUAGAAACUUAUGACAAAGACUCACCUGAUCCUGAAGAGAAAGACUCACCUGACCCUGAAGAGAGAGACUCACCUGAUCCUGAAGAGAGAGACUCAAUUGCUGAAGAGGAAAUUGGGAACCUACCUGAGAAAGAUCCGGAUAAUAUCCAUCCUUCUACUCAACCUGCUCAGGAGAGCAAAGAAAACACAAGUGAUCUGGGUCAAACAGACAACCAAAAUGAAAGUGACUGUUCGGGGAGACCUAUCAGAGACAGAAAAGCGACUAAAAGACUGACUUAUCCUGAACUAGGAAACCCGUUGAUUACAAUAGUUCAGUCUUUAUUUCAAACCUUGAGUGAUGUAUUUACAGACUCUCUUGAAGAACCUAGCUCUCUAAGAAUCCCUGGAGUUAUGACAGUAUGAAAUUCAAAAUGCACAGGGACGUGCAUUAGGUAAAGAGGGGAGGAUGUAACCCACGUUAAAAUCUGACAAAUAGGAAUAAAUAGCUGCUCAGUUAAAAUCUGAAUAAAUAGGAAUAAAUACUUGCCCAUGUUAAAAUCUGACAUAAAUAAGAAUAAAUAGCGGAUUAAAAGUCUGAACAGAGAAUAACGUCGCUGCCCCUUUAAGGAACCAGCGUCACAGAUGCGACGCCUGGGUGACGCUGCGGUGCACAAACCAGAGGGAGAGAGCAGAGGAGGAAUCGGAGGAAAAGAGCAGUUGAUUGAUUAACGGAAAAAAAGUUAAUAUUAUAGUUAAGAAGACAUAAUUUACCUGGUCGGAAACUGACGGGGAUUUUAUGAGAACUAAGUUACAUCGGUUUUGGUCAGGUUUUUUUGUUCGGUUGGAAGCUCGGUCGGAGCGAAGAUUGGUCUGCCGUGUGCGACGUCCACAUUCACAGACGGGAUUCAAGAUGGCGAGCCAGACCUAGACCUUCAAUUCAUCUUCUCCAUCAUAUCAGGGAGGGACUCUCCUGCGUAUGAUAAUUCGCUGCCGGAGCGGUAGGAACUUCAGGAACUAGUUCAAACCGAACUGGACAGGAUUAAGAACUGAUUUAAGAACUGGUGAAAUUAUUAUUAUUUUUCUGGACUGAAUCAAAACUGAAGCUUUUCAUUGAACUGAGAACCUGAACUCACAUUUGGACUUGAACUUGAGUUUAAAGUGUCAUACUUAAAUUUUCAUAUGUUAUGUCUCUGAAUGUGAAUUGAAUAAUUGUGGUCCACUUUGAUUUGUUUGAGGGUAUUUCCUUACCUGUGAAAAAAAAUGAGUUAACUCAGAGAAAAAAUAGGAAUCCUAAAAUAGGUGCAACCUAAGAAAAGGAGACUGGUCUAACUAACUUAAAUUAGUUUGACUAAAAUAACCUAGGAAAAAGAGACUGGUCUAACUAAAUUAGAUUAGUUUUACUGAAAUAAGCUAGG